UCAAAUCAACAAACUGCAGCAUAUUUUAAACUAUAAGUGGUCCUCAUGCAUUAUUGCGCCUAUGAUGCUAGAAUGUUAUGGGUGGUUGCUAGGGCGUUGCUAUGCGGUUGCCAGGGUGAGUGACUGUUAGAGUGUUGUUUUGUCAGAAAGAGCUCAGAAGAGUCUCUGUGAUGUUUCUCUCCAGAUACUGUGCUGUCAUAUUUCGGUUUGGGUUUUAUUCAAAUCACUAACCGUGAGUCUAAACUAGCUUUAGGGAGUAACAAAAAGAUUGUCGGUGUGAUUCUGGUCUCUCCACAUGCAGCGAGAGUCACCACGGGAACAACCUCCUGACAGCGGGACGAUCAAUUCACCUCAGAAUAACGAGUCUCCUCGCGGCUCACUCGAGAUUUUCCCCGCUCCAGCUGACACUCGGUAUUGGAUGAAUAUUUCAUGGGCGCAGAAGAGAAGAUAAAGAACAGGCUAACGACGCGUCCACUGGUGCGGAGACGAGCAGACGCUUGCCAUUCGUUCUCUAUGGGAGGCUCGCGCCGGGGAUUGUGGGAUUGAUCGCGUGCAUUCUGAACAUGCAGCAUUCAGACGUUGAUGGAUUGUUUUCCGUAUGCAGCCAGUGGUGACAUGAGCAGGAUGAAGGAUGGACACAGACCUGCAGUCUGACAGGAACCUGCUGAUGAUCAUUGAUCGCUCAUGAUGCCGAGGCAAUAUCUGCAUUACUAUGAGUAAUCAAACUUAUGCAAAUCAGAGGUUAUCAGUGCAAAAAUACUGGCCUGUGCUUUUUUUAUUGACUGUUUUUGUAAUAGAAUGCAGGGUUAUAACCAGAGUCAAUAUUUUUAUUAAAUAUAUAUAUAUAUAUAUUGUUUGUUUGUUUGUUUUUCAUUUUUGUACUUUCUGAUUUUGUUUUAAUUUUAGCUACAUUUUUAUUUUUAUUUAUUUAUUUUUAAAUUAAUUUUUAUUAAAAAUGUAAAAAAAAUAUGUCCUUAGCUGAAAUAAUUUUUAUUUAUUUGUUUCAUUAUUUUCUGACAGAAACCUGCUGCUGAUCAUUGAUCGCUCAUGAUGCCGAGGCAAUAUAUGCAUUACUAUGAGUAAUCAAACUUAUGCAAAUCAGAGGUUAUCAGUGCAAAAAUACUGACCUGUGCUUUUUUUAUUGACUGUUUUUGUAUGCAGGGUUAUAAC